AUUUCUCACAGUCCAGCGCACCCAUGUAAGGUUAACUAAGGAUUCCAAGCAGGCUGUAGCUGUGGAAGAAGGUGUGGAUGUGGGUGUAAAUGGUUGUUCCAGCCUCUGUUUUAACUCAACUGUAGCUGGUGCUCCUGGAACACAGAUGUAACCUCUCUCCUAACAGGUGGAGAGGGGCUUCGCACAGCUGAGCUUGGAGCUUGCAGGCCUUCUUUCUGGAACACGGCAGCAGCACACAGGCUAUUUUGCCUGAGGCCUGACGUCAACGGGUCUUCAAGACAAAACACGUGUGAAAGAAGCACAUUUUAUCUGCAAGAUGUCAGCCCGUCAUUGCGUGAAUGACAAUGAGUCAGUUCUGAGAAGAUCCCCAACACCGCUGACUGAAAUGGAUCCACAAUCCAUGACACAGCCUCCGCUGUGUUUUACAGAUGGCUACAGACAUGCACUGUUGUACUUACCUCUUGACCUACUCUGUAUAUAUUGGCAACAGAUUUCCAGUCCAGUCCUUGUGUAAUUCGGCAUACAUCAGCAUUUUCUGUGUCAGGUCCCUGCUGGAGUUUCAUGUCCUUUCUUAAUGACAUACCUUUGCAUACUGUUCAUACUUUGAUUUAGGCUCGAAACAUCUUCUUUUGUCCUGCGCUUGUCAAUUUUCGCUCGACACGCUGCACAUCAUGUUGAAAUAUGCCAAGUUUUCAACUAAUAUUGUUUUAGAAAUCACCUUGUUGGUGCAAGAAUACAAUUUUUAAGCCUAUCAAACUGUUUGCACCAAACUUUUUUAUAGAAAUGGGAACAAUUCUGUGUUUUUGCAACAGUAUUUUAGUUACUUAUUUUUUGCUUGAAUAAUUCAUAGGUCAGUAUUAAUUGGCUGAAAAAAGCAGAACAAAAAAAAAUAAAACCAUUCCUGUGAAAAUGUUUAGGUACGAGGACUGGACUGGACGGCCUUCAGAAAACCUGAAAAACUGUACUUCCAGACCCCUUUAAA